GCGGGUGUAGCUCAAUGGUAGAGCUUCAGCCUUCCAAGUUGAAGACGGGGGUUCAAUUCCCCCCACCCGCU
rnacentral:tRNA from 1 species